AAGUCGUAACAAGGUCUCCGUUGGUGAACCAGCGGAGGGAUCAUUGUUGGAAUAAAUGCCCUCACGGGUACUAUCCAAAACCCUUUGUGAAUACUACCUAAUCGUUGCCUCGGCAUAGUUGGCUUCCUACGGAAGUCCCUUUUCCCUAUGGGAAAAGGAGCAGGCUUGCCGGUGGCCCCAUAAACCCUUGUUUUGUAAUAUCAUCUGAGUAAACAAACAAAAUAAAUCAAAA
rnacentral:misc_RNA from 1 species